UACGAAGGGGGCUAGCGUUGCUCGGAAUCACUGGGCGUAAAGAGCUCGUAGGUGGUUUGUCGCGUUGUUCGUGAAAACUCACAGCUUAACUGUGGGCGUGCGGGCGAUACGGGCAGACUGGAGUACUGCAGGGGAGACUGGAAUUCCUGGUGUAGCGGUGGAAUGCGUAGAGAUCAGGAGGAACACCCGUGGCGAAGGCGGCGCCCUGGUCCGUUACUGACGCUGAGACGCGAAAGCGCGGGGAGCGAACGGG
rnacentral:rRNA from 1 species